UGUGUGGGGGGGUGCUCAUCCCCAAAUAACAUACCACGGAGGCAAAGAAGGACGAACUGGAGGUGUUUGAAGCUCACCCAACCCUGUGAUCACCAAUUCCCACCGAGGUGUUUGAAGCUUGCCCAACCCCGUGAGCACCAGUUCCCACCUGCUGGAAGACGCUGAGCCUAAAGCAGCUUCAGCCCAGAGGGAGGAGUUAGAGCCACAGUGUUUUCAAAUGAACCACACACAGCUUGUGUAGAGUCCACACAUGGCAUGGCACCCAAGGCAUCCUGAGCUUCAGUACGAUCUCCAUCAUCCCUAGGUCCAACCUUCUCCCAGUGGUAGCGGGGUGCCUGGCUGUCUAAAGGAGCUGUAGGACGGAGUGCCACACAGCACAGAUCAGCAGGAUGGGGCUGCAUACAAAAUACGCUGAGGAUGCUCACCGCAUGCCUAAGACAUUCUCUGGUAUUGAGACAACCUUCCCCAAAGCGUGGCUAAAGCACAGGUCCUUCCCUGUCCAUCACUGGGGAAUCGGGCCUGUUUCUGUGACAGCAGCAACAAAUGGGUAAUGGGGGACCAAUCAGAAAGCCCCUUGCUGCACACGUGACAUGAGACCCUCCCUACACACAGC
rnacentral:lncRNA from 1 species